UUUGACUGGGGCGGUCUCCUCCUAAAGAGUAACGGAGGAGCACGAAGGUUGGCUAAUCCUGGUCGGACAUCAGGAGGUUAGUGCAAUGGCAUAAGCCAGCUUGACUGCGAGCGUGACGGCGCGAGCAGGUGCGAAAGCAGGUCAUAGUGAUCCGGUGGUUCUGAAUGGAAGGGCCAUCGCUCAACGGAUAAAAGGUACUCCGGGGAUAACAGGCUGAUACCGCCCAAGAGUUCAUAUCGACGGCGGUGUUUGGCACCUCGAUGUCGGCUCAUCACAUCCUGGGGCUGAAGUAGGUCCCAAGGGUAUGGCUGUUCGCCAUUUAAAGUGGUACGCGAGCUGGGUUUAGAACGUCGUGAGACAGUUCGGUCCCUAUCUGCCGUGGGCGCUGGAGAACUGAGGGGGGCUGCUCCUAGUACGAGAGGACCGGAGUGGACGCAUCACUGGUGUUCGGGUUGUCAUGCCAAUGGCACUGCCCGGUAGCUAAAUGCGGAAGAGAUAAGUGCUGAAAGCAUCUAAGCACGAAACUUGCCCCGAGAUGAGUUCUCCCUGAGACUUAGAGUCUCCUGAAGGAACGUUGAAGACGACGACGUUGAUAGGCCGGGUGUGUAAGCGCAGCGAUGCGUUGAGCUAACCGGUACUAAUGAACCGUGAGGCUUAACCUU
rnacentral:rRNA from 1 species